AUGGCUCAAUUCAUGGAUUUGCGGGCUUUCAUUUUGCGUGCGCGUGUCCUCAAAUUUUAUAGGCAGGCACUGCGUAUGACUCGCCGAGCCCCUGCACAUGCUCGUGAUGAGUUGAGGCAGACAGUACGGGCGGAGAUUGAAAAAAAUCGCAAUUGUGAUGAUAAGCAAAAGAUUAAGUUUUUAAUUAGUGAAGGACUACAGAGAUUGAAGGGUCUUGAUGAGAUGCUUGACAUGACAGGAAACGGAUAA
rnacentral:rRNA from 1 species